UAAUGCUAGAUGCAUGUAUUCAAAGAGAUUUAAGAUGUCAAUGUGUGCUUGGAAGCGUCUCAACCAUUAUGUUGAAUCAGUUGAGCCUGCUAUCGGCCACUAUGUUUGUGAGCUGAAUAAGACUUUUGCCAAGCUUGGGCAGAGAAUGUACUUUUCUGUUGUGUUUACGAAGAAGCAUCUAGCGGAUUUCAUCGCUACUCCUGUUGAUGGGGUAAAGAUUCAGCUAUCAUCUGGACGUUGUGUAAGGCGUGUUCGCCUUAUUAAUGGUGUGGACAACAGGGCUACCAUAACACGGAACUGGGGUAACUUUGCAGAGAAAGCAAAGCUGACAAAAGGGGAUAUCUGUGUUUUCUCCCUUCGAGUUCGCAAGGGGAAACCAGAAUUCACCGUUCACAAGAUCUAAAAGGUGGCUACAACGCAGCGUUUAAGGAGGAGUAUGUUAAGGUGUUCUAUAAGGGUAUGUUUAGCUGUUGAUGGGUUGUAGCUAGGUGUGUUCGGUUGCACAUGCAAUAUGCCUUUCUUUUGCUAGCAAUGUCUUUGUCAUGAUGGUUAUGUAAUGCAAUUAUGAUCGAAACCAUGAACUAUGUUUGAGCUAUGGGCUCUUAGCUAGGUAAGUUUAGUUGUUGCAUGGACUCUAGCUAGGUGUGUUGGGUUGCGCAGGCAGUAUGUGUUUCUUUUGUUAGCAAUCUCUCCGUUGUGAUGGUUAUGUAAUGCAAUGAUGAUUGAAAA